CCUGUGUUCCAGGAAGCAAAGGUCUUUAGAUGAAGGUUUUAAGAAUGAAAAUUAACCCACAGAAUGGUGAGGUCAGUUGGAGCCUGGAUUCCAUGGGCCUUUACCCUUCUGAUUGCUGGUGCCACGCCCCAUUGUGAGAAGUCAGGAGUCACAUCAGAAACUUGCUUUUCCUCAGCGGCACCUCCUGCUCGUGACGGGCCCUGUUCCUUUCCCCUCAGAGACGUACCUGGGAUCCAUCCUGGCCUCUCAGUCAGGGCCGACUUCCCCACCCCAGUGUUUGCUACCAUGAUUGUGACCUGUUCUAAGCUGAGUUUCUGCAGCUUUGCCGGUCACAUGCAUUCUUUCCUCCCCAAGACAACCCCUCAUCACACAGCAGAGACAGUGGUCACUGAGAACAUGGUCUGCCUCCCAUCUCUCCCCUUUGUGGGCACCUCAGUGGCCUCCUGCUGCGCUCCGAACAAAAGCAAGAGACCCUGCUGAACCUGGGAUGGGUUGGUAGAAGAUGGGCUCCCCACGGGACCCGGGCGGGGGACAGCCCCCUCAGCCUCACGGCUUCCCAGACAGAGCGAAGGUGUCCUUCCAGUCU
rnacentral:lncRNA from 1 species